rnacentral:rRNA from 1 species
AACGAACGCUGGCGGCAGGCUUAACACAUGCAAGUCGAACGGUUGCAGCAAUGCAUCAGUGGCAGACGGGUGAGUAACACGUGGGAACCUUCCUAGGGGUACGGAACAACUCAGGGAAACUUGAGCUAAUACCGUAUACGUCCGUGAGGAGAAAGAUUUAUCGCCCUUAGACGGGCCCGCGUCGGAUUAGCUAGUUGGUGGAGUAACGGCCUACCAAGGCGACGAUCCGUAGCUGAUCUUAGAGGAUGAUCAGCCACACUGGGACUGAGACACGGCCCAGACUCCUACGGGAGGCAGCAGUGGGGAAUCUUGGACAAUGGGCGCAAGCCUGAUCCAGCCAUGCCGCGUGAGUGAAGAAGGUCUUCGGAUUGUAAAGCUCUUUUGCCAGGGACGAUAAUGACGGUACCUGGAGAAUAAGCCCCGGCAAACUUCGUGCCAGCAGCCGCGGUAACAC